UAUUCUUGUAAUGAAGUGAAUAGAGUAUUCAUAGCAUUGUAUUAACAGUAUUUUGCAGUUGCAAAAUGAAUAAAAAGUUUUCCACAGUUUGUGGACAAAGAGAAAUUCUGCAGAAUUUUAAUUCUUCUUCUCUUUCAUCGUUCUUUAUUUUCUUUCUCUAUUGUUCUUCUCUUUUCAUUGUUAUUGUGUGGAUGAUAAUAAUCUUAUUCAUCAAAAUUGAUUAAAAUUCUUCAUAGAUUGUGAUAGAUUUCCAACAAAAUACAGAUGUUAAUGAUAUAUCUUUUGUAGCUCUUAAUUAUUCUCUUGUAAAUGCCACAUCUUUACCACAUAUAUAUUUGAAGGAUCUUGAUGUAUAUAAAGAAAUACUCUCUUGUGGAAAGGUAUUUUACAAUCAGCUACUAUAGUGGCUCGGUAACUCACCAACUCAUUGUGAUAUGGACAUUGUUCAUGCAUAUGGCGAAUAAAUACAUAAAAAUAUCUCUUAAAAGCAUUUACAUCUAUUAAACUCAUUUGAGUUCUUUAAAUAGUCUCAUUUUUUUUACAUUAUAUUACACUUCCAAAUUAUUUAAAUCAUUUAAUUACAUUUUUCAAAUGUUCAUACAAUCCAUCUAAAACUUUAAAAUGAUUCUAGAAAAUCCUAGAAUAUAUCCAACUAGAGCACUCCAUAUCCAAUUGCAACUUAAAUAAAAACAUAAACACACAGUUGGGAGAGUGACUCUUGUAGAAACGUUUUUCAAUUAAAGAACGAACUUUAUCACCAAAUAUCCUAAGUUUUUUGACAAGUAGCUUUAAACAUCGUGUAGAAACGGUGGAAAAACAAGCGAUGUUUCUCUAAAAAAAAACUCUAAACCAAACCAAAGUGUUGAAUCGAAACGAACCAAAUAGAACAAGCGAUAUUUAUAUAUUCGCAACAAAUAUGAGAGUUUUAAUACAUGCUUACAAUUUUGUCUUUUCACUCUUAGGAACAUGAUAGAACAUUUAAAAUUCUAAAGUUGUUAUUUCAUUUUAUAAAUGAUUUUUGAAUUAAAUACAUAACUUCUAAAAUAAAUAUUAAUAUUUCAUUACCUAUAGCACAAAUUAUUUUAUGAUCGAAUAACACCCUUUCACUUUAAAUUAUUGUAUAUAAAAACAUUUUGUCAUUUGCCUUUGGUCCUUAUGAUUG
rnacentral:lncRNA from 1 species